rnacentral:rRNA from 1 species
UGCAUAUCAAAAAGCGGAGGAAAAGAAACCAACAGGGAUUGCCUUAGUAGCGGCGAGUGAAGCGGCAAAAGCUCAAAUUUGAAAUCUGGCUCUUUCAGAGUCCGAGUUGUAAUUUGAAGAAGGUAUCUUUGGGUCUGGCUCUUGUCUAUGUUUCUUGGAACAGAACGUCACAGAGGGUGAGAAUCCCGUGCGAUGAGAUGAUCCAGGCCUAUGUAAAGUUCCUUCGAAGAGUCGAGUUGUUUGGGAAUGCAGCUCUAAGUGGGUGGUAAAUUCCAUCUAAAGCUAAAUAUUGGCGAGAGACCGAUAGCGAACAAGUACAGUGAUGGAAAGAUGAAAAGAACUUUGAAAAGAGAGUGAAAAAGUACGUGAAAUUGUUGAAAGGGAAGGGCUUGAGAUCAGACUUGGUAUUUUGUAUGUUACUUCUUCGGGGGUGGCCUCUACAGUUUAUCGGGCCAGCAUCAGUUUGGGCGGUAGGAGAAUUGCGUUGGAAUGUGGCACGGCUUCGGUUGUGUGUUAUAGCCUUCGUCGAUACUGCCAGCCUAGACUGAGGACUGCGGUUUAUACCUAGGAUGUUGGCAUAAUGAUCUUAAGUCGCCCGUCUUGAAACACGGACC